CAAGUCGAACGGACCCUUCGGGGUUAGUGGCGGACGGGUGAGUAACACGUGGGAACGUGCCUUUAGGUUCGGAAUAGCUCCUGGAAACGGGUGGUAAUGCCGAAUGUGCCCUUCGGGGGAAAGAUUUAUCGCCUUUAGAGCGGCCCGCGUCUGAUUAGCUUGUUGGUGAGGUAAUGGCUCACCAAGGCUACGAUCAGUAGCUGGUCUGAGAGGAUGACCAGCCACAUUGGGACUGAGACACGGCCCAAACUCCUACGGGAGGCAGCAGUGGGGAAUCUUGCGCAAUGGGCGAAAGCCUGACGCAGCCAUGCCGCGUGUAUGAUGAAGGUCUUAGGAUUGUAAAAUACUUUCACCGGUGAAGAUAAUGACUGUAGCCGGAGAAGAAGCCCCGGCUAACUUCGUGCCAGCAGCCGCGGUAAUACGAAGGGGGCUAGCGUUGCUCGGAAUUACUGGGCGUAAAGGGAGCGUAGGCGGACAUUUAAGUCAGAGGUGAAAUCCCGGAGCUUAACUUCGGAACUGCCUUUGAUACUGGGUGUCUUGAGUGUGAGAGAGGUAUGUGGAACUCCGAGUGUAGAGGUGAAAUUCGUAGAUAUUCGGAAGAACACCAGUGGCGAAGGCGACAUACUGGCUCAUUACUGACGCUGAGGCUCGAAAGCGUGGGGAGCAAACAGGAUUAGAUACCCUGGUAGUCCACGCCGUAAACGAUGAUUGCUAGUUGUCGGGAAGCUUGCUUCUCGGUGACGCAGCUAACGCAUUAAGCAAUCCGCCUGGGGAGUACGGUCGCAAGAUUAAAACUCAAAGGAAUUGACGG
rnacentral:rRNA from 1 species